rnacentral:rRNA from 1 species
UACGUAGGGUGCGAGCGUUAAUCGGAAUUACUGGGCGUAAAGCGUGCGCAGGCGGUUCGCCAAGUCAGGUGUGAAAUCCCCGGGCUUAACCGGGGAACUGCGUGUGAUACUGGCAGGCUCGAGGUCGGUAGGGGUGAGCGGAACUCCAGGUGGAGCGGUGAAAUGCGUAGAUAUCUGGAGGAACACCGGUGGCGAAAGCGGCUCACUGGACCGAAUCUGACACUGAGGUGCGAAAGCUAGGGUAGCAAACGGG